rnacentral:rRNA from 1 species
CUAAUAGGGAACGUGAGCUGGGUUUAGACCGUCGUGAGACAGGUUAGUUUUACCCUACUGUUGGACCGAUCUCGCCAUAGUAAUUCGGCUCAGUACGAGAGGAACCGCCGGGUCAGAUAAUUGGUAAUGCGCUUGGCUGAAAAGCCAAUGGCGCAAAGCUAACAUCUGCCGUCUAAUGACUGAACGCCUCUAAGUCAGAAGACAUGCUAGGUGCGAGGUCACAUUUCCCAAUGAUGUCACCCGACUAAGAAUACGUUCGGUUCUUCCGAACGCUGGAGCAUACCCGUUGGUCCCCCCGGGCGAGUUCACAACACUCGUUCGGGCGCCAAGCAUGACACUUCCACUCGUCAUUGGGGUAAAUCCUUUGCAGACGACUUAGCUCGAACGGGGUAUUGUAAGUGGCAGAGUGGCCUUGCUGCUACGAUCCACUGAGAUUCAUCCCUUGUUCGAAAGAUUU